rnacentral:rRNA from 1 species
AUUGAACGCUGGCGGCAUGCUUUACACAUGCAAGUCGAACGGUAACAGGGUGCUUGCACCGCUGACGAGUGGCGAACGGGUGAGUAAUGCGUCGGAACGUGCCGAGUAGUGGGGGAUAACGCAGCGAAAGUUGUGCUAAUACCGCAUACGUACUGAGGUAGAAAGUGGGGGACCUUCGGGCCUAACGCUAUGCGAGCGGCCGACGUCUGAUUAGCUAGUAGGUGAGGUAAAGGCUCACCUAGGCGACGAUCAGUAGCGGGUCUGAGAGGAUGAUCCGCCACACUGGGACUGAGACACGGCCCAGACUCCUACGGGAGGCAGCAGUGGGGAAUUUUGGACAAUGGGCGAAAGCCUGAUCCAGCCAUGCCGCGUGUCUGAAGAAGGCCUUCGGGUUGUAAAGGACUUUUGUCAGGGAGGAAAUUCCUAGUGCUAAUAACACUGGGGGAUGACAGUACCUGAAGAAUAAGCACCGGCUAACUACGUGCCAGCCGCCGCCGUAAGAC